rnacentral:rRNA from 1 species
UACGUAGGGGGCUAGCGUUGUCCGGAAUCAUUGGGCGUAAAGAGCGUGUAGGCGGUCCGGUAAGUCCGCUGUGAAAGUCGGGGGCUCAACCCUCGAAUGCCGGUGGAUACUGUCGGGCUAGAGUGCGGAAGAGGCGAGUGGAAUUCCUGGUGUAGCGGUGAAAUGCGCAGAUAUCAGGAGGAACACCUAUUGCGAAGGCAGCUCGCUGGGACGUAACUGACGCUGAGGCACGAAGGCCAGGGGAGCAAACGGG